ACCUUUUGCUUAAGAGAUUCUGCGAGUUCAAUCAUGGGUAGAGCUUUACUUUUUGUCAACUGUAGUUUUUUAAGUAUUGUUCUGAUCGAAUCAUCCAUCAAUUGCGAGUAACAUCCAAUGUUCUCAGCAAGAAUCUUGUUUCUCAAUUGGAAUCCAUCCACAGUUUUCCCGAGGUGCAAUGUGAUGUCACCAUCAAUUGCAUUUGCUUCACCAUUGGCUACUUCCUCGAUUAGACCAUCAUUAACAACAGAUACUGAAGGAGUUGAGAAAGAUGUGUCAUCCUACAAAAACAACAUAGCAGUAAUUGCGAGUAACGUCCAAUAUUCUCAGCAAGAAUCUUGUUUCUCAAUUGGAAUCCAUCCACAGUUUUCCCGAGAUGCAAUGUGAUGUCACCAUCAAUUGCAUUUGCUUCACCAUUGGCUACUUCCUCGAUUAGACCAUCAUUAACAACAGAUACUGAAGGAGUUGAGAAAGAUGUGUCAUCCUACAAAAACAACAUAGCAGAUAGGUAAGAGAAGUUACGUCUAGAAUAUGUAGACCACCUGAUCAUAUUUCAAAGAGAAA
rnacentral:lncRNA from 1 species